ACUCCUACGGGAGGCAGCAGUGGGAAUAUUGCACAAUGGGGAAAGCCCAUCGAUGCAGCCAUGCCGCGUGUGUGAAGAAGGCCUUCGGGUUGUAAAGACACUUUCAGCGAGGAGGAAAGGGUGUGUGCUAAUACCAUACAUCUGUGACGUUACUCGCAGAAGAAGCACCGGCUAACUCCGUGCCAGCAGCCGCGGUAAUACGGAGGGUGCGAGCGUUAUCCGGAUUUAUUGGGUUUAAAGGGUCCGUAGGCGGGUUAAUAAGUCAGUGGUGAAAUCCCAUCGCUUAACGAUGGAACUGCCAUUGAUACUGUUAGUCUUGAAUGAGGGUGCAGUGGUUGGAAUGUGUAGUGUAGCGGUGAAAAUGCAUAGAUAUUACACAGAACACCGAUUGCGAAGGCAGAUCACUAACCCUAAAUUGACGCUGAGGGACGAAAGCGUGGGGAGCGAACAGGAUUAGAUACCCUGUAGGCUCUG
rnacentral:rRNA from 1 species